UUCCGCGCACGCUGGCCCUUCUCCCCGAGGACGUUGCCCAGGGUGCCUCGCCGAACUUAACCAGAAACAUUAUUCGACUUUUUUGCGUACAAAGAAAUCAACUCUAGAGUAGGUUAUAUGAAUUUCAAUUUCUCGUACAGAAAACCAUAUCGACAUAUCUCAAUCAAAAAGAAUGCGAGUAUCAUCCACGGCGUUACUACUUCAAUUAUAGACAAUCUUAAUAUGAAUCUCGGACAUUGUAGCGGCGGCGAGUUCGGACGCUUAUUUAACUUCCCAGAAAUGCUUAAAUGAGCGGUGAAAGCCAACAAAACAGGUAUUCUAGGAUCGACGAUUGGUAAGCAAA